AAACAGUGCUGCUGUGAAUAUCGGGGUGCACGUGUCUUUCGGAAUUAUGGUUUUCUUUGCGUAUAUGCCCAGGAGUGGGAUUGCCAGAUCACGUAAAGAAACAAAAUUGUGCCAUUUGAAGAGACAUGGAGGGACCUAGAGACUGCCACACAGAGUGAACGGAAACGAACCCAACAUUGUAAAGCAACGACGCUCCAGGAAAACAGAAGCCUUUCCCUGGAAGCCACCGUGAAGUUCAGGGAAGCAAGAGCCUCCUGCUCUCCAUAAUGGGCGCCCUGCAUCAAAUGCUACACUUACCUUCAUCACAUCCAGUGCCCAGUGGGUUGGCUUUGCUGUGAGUUGGAUGAAAAAGGGAGACAAACCCAUGAAGGGAUAUGUGAUGAGCGUUGUCUCAGGGACUGGAUUUGAGGACAUCUCUGGAGUUGUUCACUCUGUGUUGCCUUCAUUAUCUGAUCUUUGUACAUGUCAGAACUAUGGAGCCAGCCAGGAGGAAAAGACAGUGGGGGAACAGUGUGCUCGAGUUUUGUAUUUUGAUAGUUAGAAAAUUAAAUAGUCAUAUUGCUCCCCAUAUAAGACAAGAGAUUUGGAUCCUUUUUCCUUUUUAAUUCUUUUUCUCACAUAUGCUAAAAAUGCUCUGAGGAAAGCCAUGAAAUGUAACAUGAGUAUUAAUGCCUUUGGCCACAGCAGUUUUUGCUCCUACUUAUAAUUAAAUGGAGGAAAGUAUCUUUUUACUGAUUUAUGAAGUAACAUUAAUAAAGACACACGUAUCACCACCUACGGAUCAAAGCAAAACACGCAUGAGGGCCGUGAAAGCUUAAACAUUUCCUCCCCAAUAUUGUUGGAAGAUCCCUUUGGUUUUUCACUGGAUGAAGGAGCAGUUCCCUUGACAACCAGCUUUCUGAACAGACUGCCUAUACCUCAGUGUUCUACAGCUUGCUGUAAAAGUCAAAGUGCGAUAUUCUUACAAGAUGCACAUAAAUUUACUAAGGAGUGACUUUAUGAUUUUUAGAUGAUGUCUACUAGACACGGCAGAGAAGAUGUUAGCUAACUAAGAAAACGGAGGUCCUAAAUCCUUAGCCUUCAGGACUAAGA
ensembl:lncRNA